rnacentral:lncRNA from 1 species
CUGAGAGGUGCUCCAUGCUGCUGCCUCACUGGAUCAUCUGGCAGGUACUGCUGAGGCCUACUCAGUGAGUGACCACACUCAAUGAGCCAUCAUGAUGGAGGCUUCUCCGAGAGCACUCUCUCAAUCAAGAGUUCCCAUCUCAGGAUCUGCUCCUACAAGACCCAACUUAGGAUAGUAAUGAUGUUUAUCACUUAUUUAGUGAAUAUGUGUCAAGUGCCAGACAUGCCUACAUUCAACAUGCAGUGGCAAACAAGACAAACAUUUUACAAGACAAACAUUUUACCCAGUUUCACAGGGCUCAGAGGCUUGUGGUCUCACUAGUGUUAUUUACUAGGUAUUUUAUUAAUCAAAAAUGAUAGUAGUUUGUAAAAAUACCUUUGUUAAUGUCAUAAUUAUUCUGACAUUAGCUUCUGAAUUUAUGGUAAUCUGAUCAUAGAAUAUGUCAUAUAAGAUCUGCUUUAGGAAAAAUGUAUUAGGAGCUUAAAACAUUUCAUACGUAUUCUAGAAAUAUUCAGAGAGAAAGUAUAUUACCUGACUCCUCAACCUGGUUUUUACCAUACUUUUCUAGUCUUGUUCCAUAUAUUAUGGGAUCCUUGGGGUGUUGCUUCACCAGCCAGGAGCCACUGUGGACAGUGGUGCCUUUGCCUGAGUUUUCUUCAGGCCCACUGGGCCCACUCAACCUGGUGGACUGUGCUUGGUUUGCGCUACUGGCCUGGAUCCCAUGCCUGCCAAGGGUGAGUGGAGUGCUGAGGGGUAUGUGAGCAAGCAUGGGGUCCAGCCACUGCACACAGCCAGGUUCCUUGAGGGCUAUGGUGGGGUGGGCAGCUCCAGGCACUGGCAUGGGCUCUGGCUCCCUGCAAGGCUGUGGCUGGACCAGGCGUAACGCUAGCAGCUUCCAUGGCUGGCACCGGAGAAACACAUUGUCACCCAGAAGCUUGGAGAUGCCAGGAACGAAAGAAUUCCAAAGAGGGUGUCACAGCCCUGGCUUGGAGAACUCCUAGGUCUGGGCUUCCUGAAGGGCUGCAGCUCUUCUCUCCUUCUUGUCCCCAGUAAUGUGGCAAGCAAGGGGUGUGUUUCAACUCUGUUGACUUCCAGGGCCACCGACAGUGCAGAGGUGGCCAGAUCCGCAGCCACAGCUUGGACGGCUGCUGCUGCACCCAGGAGGGCAGGUCUCUUGCCUGCUGUCUACCCGCAAGAGCAGAGGGAUGCCUGGGUCUGCAGGGGCAACUAGGUGCCUGCAACUGCGCCCAGGGAUCGAGAGGCUCCAUCCUGCCAGCUCGGAAGGGGGUAGGGCUUCCUCCUGUUCCUGGCUCCCACCAGCUGGGUACACAUGAAGCCCAAGCUGCACCUCCCCUACUGCUGCUGGCAUCAUGGCAGCAGCCGCGUCUGGGGCCACCACUGCCAUCACAUAGAUGCCAUAUUGCUACUCAUUGAAAUUACUAAAGAGGUGUCUUUUAAAAUACUGUUUGGCUGGUUUCUUCAUUAAAUUAUUUCUUCAAUCA